UUCUAUCUGUCCGUGUGUUGGUUUAUCUUCCACAUAUGAGUGAAAUAAUGCACUGUUUGUCUUUCUCUUUCAGGCUUAUUUCACUUAACAUAAUACCCUCCAGGUCCAUCCAUGUUGCUGAAAAUGGGAUGAUUUUGUCUUUUUUGAUGGCUGAGUAGUAUUCCAUGGUGUAUAUAUACACCACAUCUUCUUUAUCCAUUCAUCAGUUGAGGGACAUGUGCUGCUUCCAUGUCUCGGCUAUGGUGAAUAAUGCUGCAAUGAACAUAGGAGUGCAUGAGCCUCUUUGGAUUGUUGAUUUCAGCUCUUCCUGUGUCUUUGGGGCCACAGUGUCUCAGGAAGAAGGAACUCACAACCAGGCGGUGAUCUGAAACUGAAACCUCCAAGGAAGAGGACCAAUUGCACUGAUGGGGGCUGAGAAGAAGCUCGUCUAGGAUGUGAUGUUUUGACCUCGUGAUCAGGGAUUGUCCAGAGCCCCCUUGAGUUAAGGCUUGUAGGCAUCUGAAGCAGCUUUGCUGGUCAACUGAGGGGUCUGCUCAUCAUAGGCAUCAGAGACUCAAGCUGACACAGCCUCUAUCUCAACUCAUUUCCAUGAUUGUUGCAUGAAGAGAGAGGAACAAGCUGAAUCACUCACUGACCCUUAAAGUUUCUACCAAGAAGUAACCUAUGUCAAUUCUACUCAUUUUUCAUUAGCCAAAGCAAGUCACGUGGCCAUGCCUAACUUCAAAAGGGUGAGGGAAUUGCAAUUCUACCAUGUGCCUGAAGGAGGAAAGCCAGAAAUAAAUGGUAAAUAGCAUUUAUGACUACCAUGGUAUCUUAUUAGAAAUAUGGGCCCUGGUACAUCAACGUGUGGCAUAGUCAAAA